GCUUCGGUGGCUCAAUUGGUUAGAGCACCGCCCUGUCACGGCGGAGGUUGCGAGUUCGAGUCUCGUCCGAGGCGCCA
rnacentral:tRNA from 1 species